GGUCAUAAGCUCAGGGGCAGAGCACAUGCUUCGCAUGCGAAUGGUCCCAGGUUCAAUUCCUUGCAUCUUCA